UGGGGAAUAUUGCACAAUGGGCGCAAGCCUGAUGCAGCCAUGCCGCGUGUGUGAAGAAGGCCUUCGGGUUGUAAAGCACUUUCAGCGGGGAGGAAGGCGGUGAGGUUAAUAACCUCACCGAUUGACGUUACCCGCAGAAGAAGCACCGGCUAACUCCGUGCCAGCAGCCGCGGUAAUACGGAGGGUGCAAGCGUUAAUCGGAAUUACUGGGCGUAAAGCGCACGCAGGCGGUCUGUCAAGUCGGAUGUGAAAUCCCCGGGCUCAACCUGGGAACUGCAUUCGAAACUGGCAGGCUAGAGUCUUGUAGAGGGGGGUAGAAUUCCAGGUGUAGCGGUGAAAUGCGUAGAGAUCUGGAGGAAUACCGGUGGCGAAGGCGGCCCCCUGGACAAAGACUGACGCUCAGGUGCGAAAGCGUGGUGAGCAAACAGG
rnacentral:rRNA from 1 species